CCUACAUAAGUAUUUCCACAUCCCACGGGAUCAGGCAUUUUGCUGUUUCUGCAAUGUCUUUAUUUGUAAGUGUUGUCCCUGCAAGGGGCUUUCUCUUCCAUGCUGAAAUACUGUCUGCCCAGGAGCCCAGCCAGAGAACCUGGACACCGCUCAAAAUUCCAGUGACUUAAUGUCCAGAAUCUCCAACAGCUUUUUUGGUGCCUUCCAAUUGUCAGGCAAGGCCAUAAAUGCCAGCCUCUAAAAAGUGUAAUUGAGAGUCUCUAGUGCAAAGACCUCAGAGAAAUGGCAAUUUUUUUUCAACGUGCUUGAAAUAAAUGCACAAAACCUGCUGUGUGCUAUUCAGUCGUGACACUCAGGUAAUGAAACACGGACCAGGGAAAUUUAGAGCAGAAGCAAAGACCUCUAGGCAACAAUGUAAUAUAAUACAGCAAAGAUAUAACUCAAUUGGAAAUAGCCAGCUGGCACUAAUGGCUCAUUCGUUUAGACUCAUAUUUCUGGGCUGUCUGGCUUUUGGUGAGAUGGGAGCAAGGAAAAUCAGGCCUGGCUGCCAGUGGCUAUCAAUAAAAGCACUGUUAAAGAGUCAUUGCUCUGCAGCUCAGGAGGCACUGCAAACCACCUUGAUCAUUGGAAAUGGUUUUAGGAAACUGCCAAGGAUCUGAGCUUUGUCUUCUCAGGUGCUUGACAGAUUCCUAAAACCUUUAAAACACUGCUGGCGAUGGUGGGAACAGACACAUCCCUGCACGUGGUCAAGGUGCAGAGCUCUGCUGGGCACACAGGGGAAGCCUCAGCUGUGCCUGGGCUAGACCAACAAAACUUGCUUUUAAAGCAAAACGUGAGAACUUGCUGUGCCUGACAACACCCCUUGAAAUUUAACCUCCAAACAGCUGUUACUGCGAUGCUGGUGGUUGUAAUAACUUUAACAAAGUUAUUACAACAGUAACAAAGAAAGAUACAACAACCAAACAGAACCAAACCUAAACCCCACAACAAACAAACAAAAAACCCCAAACACCUACAAAACACCCAGGACUGUUUUUCCACAGGUUCAGUGCCAGUGUUCUUAUGGAAAAUAAGUGGAACAGUGCUGAAGUUGACAAGCCCAAGUCCAGAGCCAUGAGAUGUGCUGGUGGAAGCAGUGGGUACUUCCCAUCUGCCCGGUAUCUGUGGCACAGUGGUUGCAGCUGUGCUGGGGAGCUGAAGGGACACAAACCUCCUGCCCAAGAUGGAUUAACUUGCUGAAUGUUGGAGAGAAUGACCCAGAGCUCUUUGCCCCUCUGCCAGGGAAGAUUUGCAGUGAGCAGAGGGUCAAUCUUCAGGAAUUCCUGGAGGAAUUGGAGGGUUUCAGCCUUGGAUGGAAUGAGCGGAUUUUCCUGCAAGCUGUCUACAAACUGUGAGUACUGGCCUCGGGGCCUUUUUGUACCCUGUGGAGAUAUGUAGGACUGGGAAAUGGCAUAUCUGGGGAGCUGGGGGACGCUGCCAGAAGCAGGUGAAGCUCCGUGGAUGUGUUUUUAAGAGUUGUUGUGCUGAUAUGAGCUCCUGGUGGGAAAGCACUGGUCUGAUCCUGCUUUGUUGUAAGAACUUGGAUAAAAAGCAGUUUUGUGGCCCCUGGGGAGGCAGGGACAGGCUGUGACUUUAAAUAUUACACAGCAAAGAAAAAUAUCUGGAAGUAAUCCACCAGUGAGUGUGGUUUGGUUUGUUUUCCCUCUUGUGCUGUGAGGAAGAGGCUUUAGUUUUAAAAGUUGUCUUUUAAGCAUAGAAAAUGGAACAGCAGUUUGCCAGGCAAGCUUCCCCCUGUGCUAGCACACAGCUGCCCUUCACGUUCAACUGGAGCACAUGGAGCUUUGGCUAAAUGAUGUGUUUCGUUUUUGGGGGGAACUCUGUGAAAAUUACUUGUGGAUAGAUGUUUUUCUUGUCUUGGAAAUAUUCUGAGGAAUUCAGGAGGGCAGUCCUAAAUGCUUUGAGUUGGACAACGAUUUUGUGGUGGGUUUGCCUUAUUGUGAGCUUAGAGAAGUUGAAGGUGUAGUUGAAUCUUUCUGGAACAUGAAUUGGGCUUUUCCCCCAGGGCUGCCAUUAAAUAGGGGCACACCCU